rnacentral:rRNA from 1 species
CCUACGGGAGGCAGCAGUGGGGAAUAUUGCACAAUGGGGGAAACCCUGAUGCAGCGAAGCCGCGUGAGUGAAGAAGUAUUUCGGUAUGUAAAACUCUAUCAGCAGGGAAGAAAAUGACGGUACCUGAUUAAGAAGCCACGGCUAACUACGUGCCAGCAGCCGCGGUAAUACGUAGGGAGCAAGCGUUAUCCGGAUUUACUGGGUGUAAAGGGAGCGUAGACGGCAGCACAAGUCUGGAGGGAAAUGCCGGGGCUUAACCCCGGACCUGCUUUGGAAACUGUGCAGCUAGAGUGAAGGAGGGGUAAGUGGAAUGCCUGGUGUAGCGGUGAAAUGCGUAGAUAUUAGGAGGAACACCAGUGGCGAAGGCGGCGUACUGGACUGCAACUGACGUUGAGGCUCGAAAGCGUGGGGAGCAAACAGGAUUAGAUACCCCAGUAGUC